AAUUUAUUACUUGUACUAAUUUAUUUAUUGUUUAUUUAAUAAAAUACAAUACGAAUCUGUCUUAAGUUAAAAUUGGACUUGUACUACAUUUAUAAAAACCAAAAUACUAAUUAUACGUAAUGUUUUUAUCAGAUAGUCUCAAAAUAAGCUAUCUGGUUAGUGACGUUAGUUUGUCUUUUUGUGUUGAGCAAAGAAACGGAGGACGUGAUUCUGGUUAUCCUUAUUUUGGCAACGUUAUAUUGACAUGACAUUCGUCAAAUAUUAAAUCAUUAAAUCGUCCGGAAAGAGUUUAUUUAAAAUGAGCCAUAACGGAAGGCUGAGCUUCUACGUGGACAGAUGCGGCAUCUUCCAUAAAUUAAUUCAAACUGAGUACAGAAACAGACCCAGAUUCGAGACUGUAAUUCAGCCGGAAAUAAAACCCACUGCCACAUGGCUCCGUUUAAUUGUCAUGUUUUGGAACACGAGAGUUAUGAAGGCUGCUUUCAGAUUUGGGGUCGCAGCCUUGAUCAUGAGACAACAUGAACGGCUGGGCUUUGCAGCGUUCCUCCUGUGCUUUGUUUUUUGAUAUGUUUACUGUGAUUAUUUUAUUUCAUGUGAUAUUGUUUAAAAUAUCACUCCAUCGAUUAAUAAUGUGAUACUGCUUUCAAUGUGAUUAGGUACCUGAAAAUUUGUAAUAAACAUAAAUUCAUAACUUUUGUAUCUCUAUCAUCCAUGGAGUGAUAUGCUCAGACUGAGAAUAUUUGUUACUUGUUGUUAAAUAAUGUUCAAAUAGUUGAACUUUUGUAAUAUUUAUAUGCUUAUUAAUAAAUUUUGUAAAAAAUA